GAUGAACGCUGGCGGCGUGCCUAAUACAUGCAAGUCGAGCGAACAGAUAAGGAGCUUGCUCCUUUGACGUUAGCGGCGGACGGGUGAGUAACACGUGGGUAACCUACCUAUAAGACUGGGAUAACUUCGGGAAACCGGAGCUAAUACCGGAUAACAUUUGGAACCGCAUGGUUCUAAAGUGAAAGAUGGUUUUGCUAUCGCUUAUAGAUGGACCCGCGCCGUAUUAGCUAGUUGGUAAGGUAACGGCUUACCAAGGCGACGAUACGUAGCCGACCUGAGAGGGUGAUCGGCCACACUGGAACUGAGACACGGUCCAGACUCCUACGGGAGGCAGCAGUAGGGAAUCUUCCGCAAUGGGCGAAAGCCUGACGGAGCAACGCCGCGUGAGUGAUGAAGGGUUUCGGCUCGUAAAACUCUGUUAUUAGGGAAGAACAAAUGUGUAAGUAACUGUGCACGUCUUGACGGUACCUAAUCAGAAAGCCACGGCUAACUACGUG
rnacentral:rRNA from 1 species